UUCCUGACCCAAAAUGGUUUGAGGGGCUGUGUUUCUCCUGCCUGGGAGGGAGCUGAUUAUACUUGUGGUGGUUUUCCCUGGAUUUAUUUUUUUGGUUUCUUCACCAGGUGGAACAGGGAUGGUUUUCUUUAGAGGUAAGUGUUAAAAAGAAGAUCUCUCUCUGGGAAUUUCUGUUUUCAGGACAGAGGGGACUCUGUUACCCUGAGGUUACAGAGUCCAAGCCAAGCAGCAUUGUGCCUGAAGGAUCCACCUGUGCCUGCUGCUUUUGCAAUCAAUGCUCAAUCUUUCAGUGCCACUCCAAAUUUGUAUUCUCAGAGCAGCAGGGCUGCCUGGUGUUGUGAUACCUGGGAGUGAGGAGAGGGAUUUCUCCUUGCAGAGCUGUCGUGCUGUGCCUGUAAACGCUGCCUUAAAGCAGGGAUACAUCUCUGUAUCCUUAAUGCCUGCUAAAUAUUCAGGAAUGACCAGAUGCUCUCCCAAGGGAAUGCUUUGACUGUAUGGCUCAAGCUAAAGGAGAAACUUCAAAAAAACUCCUGCAAAUGGAGAGGCAGUUCUGGUUCCAGACAGUGGAAGUGCAGUGAGUUUUUCCAGUUGCGGCGCUGGUAAUAAGUGGUGCAUAAAAUUCCAUCUUCGUUUGGAUUAGAAAAUAAAUUAUUAAUGGCACUGAAUCCUUUUUUCCUGCUCCCUGUACAGUCAAUAAUUUAUUGUGGCACAGGCAUAGGAUAUAUAUUUUUAACCAUCCGCCUCCCAGAGUGGUGUUGUUCGUGUUGGGAAGUGCUGUCCUUGCUGGCAGGCUGGGCGCAGUGGCUGUUUCCUGCAUUAUGGAUGAGCAGUUCCCCAGCAGCUUUCCUGCUGAAAGGGAGCCGAGCCCUCCAUUAGAAAUUCACACCAGUGCCUUUGUUCCCUCCCUUUCACCCAACGUGGGCGGUGUACAGCGCCGUGAACUCGAUUUUGGAGUGUUUUAAUAGAAAACCUCAAUGUUUACAGUUGGUGUUGCCUUUUCCCUUUUAUCCACCAUCUCCAGGUAGAAAAUCUGUGCUGCCAGCGCCGUGCCUUGGCAGCUGGGCUGUGCUCAUUAACACUCGGAGCCGGCUGUCGCCUUCAUCCUCCCCUUGCUGCCAGGCGUGUGCUGCAGCUCUGCCCUGCUCCAUCCCCGCCUGGCGCAGCCCUUCCCGUGUUCUUUGUUCCUAAUGGGACCCUGAGGCUUUGCUAACCCAGAUUCCAGAGCGCUCCGAGCGAGGCAGGAGGAGCCUGGCUGGAAAUCAGAGCCUCUGCCCCCCUGGUGCAGCCUUUGCCAUCCUCUCCUCGCGGGUUGUUUUCUGGUUGUCUUGGUUUUGGCACCCCGUGGAUUUGGAGAGGUCUCCUGCCAUCGGGGCUGUUCAGAUCUUACAUCUUGUGUUGCUUUGCUCACUGCACUGCCCAUCCAAUUCUCCCUUCAUUCCUGUUCAGCUUCAUGUAGACAUUUCAAAGACAGUUCUCAUUUUUUUGGAUUUCUUUUUUUUUUUGGUUUCAUAAUUUUCCUUUCUUUCUUAAAAAUGCACCCUUUGAGCUCCAGAAGGGUUGUCCAGGGUGAUUGGAGCUUAUCAACCAAAGGCAAACCUGAAGGAAAUUCACUGAUAACCACUGAGGUGCACAAGCACAGCGUGGGGCUCUCCCCCAAAUGCUGCAAGCAGGGAGGGUUUCAAUGGUUUAUUUCUUCUCUUAUCUCCCUUGCCCAGACCCCUCUGUCUGAUGCAGAGUUCUUGGAAGUGGGGACAAUAUUCUUCAUCCUUUGUCUUCCUAAAGCUGCACUGAAAAUAGCAGCUCCUCUCUGCAGGUUGCAAAGCCCCAUUGAGCUGCCAGCUGUACAGUGGAAACUUCCCCAAGAUGUUCAUGGUGCCUGUGCCUGGGCAUGUCAUCUGCUACAGAGCCUCCUGCUCCAGGGCUGUGCUGAGCUGGCUUCUUCCAGGGUGAAAUGCUGCUGAAACCUCAGGUUUUUAAAGGGAGCCUUUUCUAAAGACUCUGCAGGAUGCUCAGGAAUGUUGCAGGUGUAAAAAGAAAUCGUGAGUAGCUGGGAAAGUGCUGAUCAGGUGGGCACACAAACCACAAUUUAUUACAUUAAAAAGUGACUGGACCCUGCAAGGACUUUGUUCCCACUGGAAAUUGGUGGGAUCCUUUGUGUGUCCCCCACUUUAAGUGUCAGGGGAGGCUGGAAUGACCCUGGGGCUUGGUCAGAACAACACCCAAGUGCAGGAGGGGGGACAUGUGGAUAUUUCCCUGCUGUGCUGUAAAUGCAGUUUCCUCUAGGUCAGGCAUGUAUCACCAGGGCUAAAUUUACUUCAAAAUAUUACUGAGGUGGGGAGGUUUGUGACUCAGGUCUAUAAAAGCAUGCACUGCUUAUGUAAAGAAAGAAGUUUGGAAAGAGGCAGGAGGGGGCUCAGGCUCCAGCAGGGACCACUGCUGGUGUGUGUCUGCCCUCUCUGCACAAAUAGGUCUUUGUACUGGGAGCAACUGCACCUCCAGCCUGUGUGUUCCUGGCAGCAGGGUCUGCUGGCCAGCUCUUCCUGUGUUUCCAAACAUUUCAGCAAAUGUAAAUAAUUGCCAAGCCUACGCUUUGGCUUAGAUGAAAUUGUGUUAAAAUAAAAACCAACAAACACAGUGGGAUGAGCAGUUCUUGUAAUAGUUCAGGGUGAGUUCAGAUCGAGUUGUGCCACCCUGGGAGGGCUAAGGAGGGAUUCUGUUGGGGGGAUUUAGGAAUUUGGAUCCUUUCCAUUCACUCAGGUGCAUGUGUGUGUGUUUGGUCUGGGAAAACCUGAGUUCCUGGAGUCAGCUUUGCCAGGGCAGGCAGGGUUGGCCAUCCUGCAGCACCACCAGCAUCCUCAGGUCUAACCACAGCCACAUCCCAGGGGAAUGAGCCUCUCCCACUCCUCCUGAGGAAAUGGGGCUCCUUACCUCAGCAGCCAAGCUCCUUCUGCAGUCGUGGUGCCCCUGGGAGGUGAGUGCUGGUGGUCUGGGAGUUCUGGGCAGGGGAAGAAGAGCUGUUAACUCAUUUUUUAGGACAAUUCAGCUUAUACCCACUAUGGUUUGCAGUCAAAAAUCAAGGUAGAAAUAGAGCAUUGCUUUAAAGACAGGAGCUCCUUUCAUUUUCCUGCUGUUUGCUGCAUACCUGGGCCAGCUGCUCCAGACCAGUGAGGAAUUACAGCACAGGGUGUCAGGGACUGGCUUAUUUGUCUGCCCAUCUGGGGCUGAUGAAAUGAUCCAUCUGCAUUGAUCCUUGCUGGGAAGGAGGAUAAAGCAAGGGCUUUAUGAAAUUGUACCUGAGAUCAAAUAAUUGGAAGAAAAGGCUUGGGAAUCCUCAGGCUGUAAUUAAACAUUUCCAGGAGGCAGCGAGGUGCAGUGAGCUCAGCAGAAGGAGCAUUUUGCUGGGAAGUCUUUGCUUUGCUUCAUGCUGUGUGCUAUUAAAGCAAACAACUUCACAAGCCUCAGAAGCACUGGCAGCUCUUGACCAAGAAUAGCAUCUCACAUCACAGCUAAGCUGGAAACAAUGAGGGCCAGCAGUUGUCAGUUGGUUGGGCUUUUUUAGCCCAUAAACGAGGUAGCUGAGCUCAUGGAGAAAUCCCCAUUUCUCUAUUUUAGGUGUUCUAAGAGGUGUCACCUUCUGAGGAUCCAGCAAUAAAGCAGAAGCCCUGAUUUAAAGCAGAUCUGCUGGUGCAAUUCCCACUUACCUGGGCACGCCAGGCUCACCUCCAACACACAAAUCCCAAAUCCUCACCACCUAACCCAAGCUUGUGCAAGGUCUACCAAACUUGUCUGACUAAAGAAUUCCUCUGAGAUGUGACAGAAACAUCCACCAUGUGGGAUCAUGUGGAAUCCCCAGCCCUGGGAGGCUCAAAGGCACAAGGAUGUGGCACCUGGGGACGUGCUCAGUCUUCUGGCUUGCUGAAUGCUUUCAGCAAUGCACAAAGAAGGUUGAAGAUGCUUUAAAGCAGCCUCAGACUCCUGGGCUGGGAUGCAAGUGGCAUCUGCUCCUUCAAGGUUGUCCCCACCAAGAGCCCUCGGUGCCUUUUGUUGCUCACAGGACAGAUAAAUGUGGCUCUUCAGAGGUGCCCUGCAAGCCCAGCUGUGCAGACAGUGAUGCCUCUGGCUCUGCUGGGUGGGGAGAUGCUGUGGCUGAGUGACAGAGGCUUUGUGCAAAGCCAGCCUUGGUGUGAAAC